AUCAUGGCUCAGGAUGAACGCUAGCGGCAGGCCUAAUACAUGCAAGUCGAACGGUGUCUUCGGACAUAGUGGCGCACGGGUNCGUAACACGUAUGCAACCUACCUUACAUUGGGGGAUAGCCUUUCGAAAAGGGAGAUUAAUACCGCAUAAGACAGUAGCUGGGCAUCCAGCAGCUGUUAAAGCAUUGCGGUAUAAGAUGGGCAUGCGUCCUAUUAGCUAGAUGGUGAGGUAACGGCUCACCAUGGCUACGAUAGGUAGGGGGCCUGAGAGGGUGGUCCCCCACACUGGUACUGAGACACGGACCAGACUCCUACGGGAGGCAGCAGUGAGGAAUAUUGGUCAAUGGGCGCAAGCCUGAACCAGCCAUGCCGCGUGCAGGAAGAAUGCCCUAUGGGUUGUAAACUGCUUUUAUUUGGGAAUAAACCUCUUUACGUGUAGAGAGCUGAAGGUACCAAAUGAAUAAGCACCGGCUAACUCCGUG
rnacentral:rRNA from 1 species